CCUACGGGGGGCAGCAGUGAGGAAUAUUGGUCAAUGGACGAGAGUCUGAACCAGCCAAGUAGCGUGAAGGAUGACUGCCCUAUGGGUUGUAAACUUCUUUUAUAUGGGAAUAAAACGUUCCACGUGUGGGAUUUUGUAUGUACCAUAUGAAUAAGGAUCGGCUAACUCCGUGCCAGCAGCCGCGGUAAUACGGAGGUUCCGAGCGUUAUCCGGAUUUAUUGGGUUUAAAGGGAGCGUAGGUGGAUUGUUAAGUAAGUUGUGAAAGUUUGCGGCUCAACCGUAAAAUUGCAGUUGAAACUGGCAGUCUUGAGUACAGUAGAGGUGGGCGGAAUUCGUGGUGUAGCGGUGAAAUGCUUAGAUAUCACGAAGAACUCCGAUUGCGAAGGCAGUUCACUGGACUGCAACUGACACUGAGGCUCGAAAGUGUGGGUAUCAAACAGGAUUAGAUACCCGUGUAGUC
rnacentral:rRNA from 1 species